GCUUUACUGUAACUUGAAAUUGAAGUUGGACUUUACUUGCGCAGUAUAGGUGGGAGGCGUUGAGAAUAUUCUUGCGGGAAUAUUGGAGCCAUCAGUGARAUACCACUCUGGUAAUGUUAGAUUUCUAACUUUGCAUCAUUAUCUGGUCAAAGAACAGUUUCAGGCGGGCAGUUUGACUGGGGCGGUCGCCUCCUAAASGGUAACGGAGGCGCACAAAGGUUUCCUCUGAACGGGUAGAAAUCGUAUCUAGAGUGUAAAGGCAUAAGGAAGCUUGACUGUGAGACCUACAAGUCGAGCAGGGACGAAAGUCGGUCUUAGUGAUCUGACGGUGCUGAGUGGAAAGGCCGUCACUCAACGGAUAAAAGUUA
rnacentral:rRNA from 1 species